AUGUGCACUUCUAUGCGGGUUGUGUGGUGUCAGGACUUAACCCACUUGUGAACAAUGCAUCGAACUUCAAUGUUCACAGUGGUUAAGUUCUGCCGCCCCUAGACCAGAAUCAGCCAAGGAUGAG
rnacentral:pre_miRNA from 8 species